AAUAGUCCUGUAUGUUAAACGAGAAGACUUCAGAUAUGAUCCAGAGUACCACGGGACACGUGAAACCCUGUGGGAAGCAGGAGGGACCACCCUCCAAGGCUAAAUACUACCUAGUGACCGAUAGCGUAUAGUACCGUGAGGGAAAGGUGAAAAGAACCCCGGGAGGGGAGUGAAAUAGAACCUGAAACCCUGCACUUACAAGCUGUGGAAGCACAUUUCUUGUGUGACCGCGUACUUUUUGUAGAACGGGCCAACGAGUUACGUUAAGUAGCAAGGUUAAGCACUUAAGGUGCGGAGCCGUAGCGAAAGCGAGUUUUAACUGAGCGUUCAGUUACUUGACGUAGACCCGAAACCGGGCGACCUACCCAUGAGCAGGAUGAAGCGAAAGUAAAAUUUCGUGGAGGUCCGAACCCACGAGCGUUGAAAAGCUCGGGGAUGACUUGUGGGUAGCGGUGAAAUUCCAAUCGAGCCCGGAGAUAGCUGGUUCUCCCCGAAAUAGCUUUAGGGCUAGCCUCAAGGUGAGAGAUACGGAGGUAGAGCACUGAAUGUCCUAGGGGGUAUUGCACCUACCGAAGACUAUCAAACUCCGAAUGCCGUCAUCUUAUACUUGGGAGUCAGACUGUGGGUGAUAAGAUUCAUAGUCGAAAGGGCAACAGCCCAGAUCGUCAGCUAAGGUCCCUAAAUGUAAGUUAAGUGGUAAAGGAUGUGGGAUUGCACAGACAACCAGGAUGUUGGCUUAGAAGCAGCCACUCAUUCAAAGAGUGCGUAAUAGCUCACUGGUCGAGUGAUCCUGCGCCGAAGAUUUCCGGGGCUAAAACUUACUACCGAAGCUACGGCAUCA
rnacentral:rRNA from 1 species